GAACCUUCUUACAGUGCGAGGCGUGUAUCCAGGUACUCUUCCCGGCCAACUUUACAGAGGUAGACGUAGUCAAUAGUACUUGGAAUGGACCAUCAAACCUUGGGGUAUGUUUUCUGAGAAACUUAUUGACCAUGACCCAGUCACCAGGAAGUAGCUUAUGUGUGCCUGUAUUUGACUCUGGAUCUGGAAUAGAAGAAAACACUUGUGCAUGGAUUUUGGUCAAAGCAUGAGAGAGUGCAGUUACAUAAUCUACCAUUGCAUCUGACUGAAUUUGGAGUUGUUGAGGAAAGUAACAACCUAACCUGGGUGCUGUACCAAAUAAAAUCUCAUAGGGGGAUAAGCUAAAUCUCCCUCUUGGAGUGUACCUUACACUAAAUAGUGCUAUGGGAAGACUUUCUGGCCAGGGUAGGUUAGUUUCUUGGGCCAUCUUAAGCAUUCUGGCUUUCAGAAUACUUACCACUACUCUGUGGGUGAUAGGGUGUGUGGAAUGCAAGGGUCACCCCCAGUGCUGCCCAGAUUUCUUUGGUUAGUAAGGCGGUGAAGGAUAUUCCCUGGUCACUUUCGAUCACCUCAGUAACUCCGUAUCUGCAGAUGAUUUCGGUAAGUAGAUGCUUUGCCGUGGUCUUGGCAGUGAGAUUGGUGACUGGAAAGGCUUCUGGCCAUUCUGAAAACAUAUCCACUAUGACCAGUGCAUAUUCAUACUGGCCACUCUUUGGCAUUUGGAUAUGAUCAAUUUGGAUCCUUUGGAAAGGG